rnacentral:rRNA from 1 species
CAGUAGCCGCGGUAAUACGAAGGGUGCAAGCGUUACUCGGAAUUACUGGGCGUAAAGCGUGCGCAGGCGGUGUUGUAAGACUGAUGUGAAAUCCCCGGGCUCAACCUGGGAACUGCAUUGGUGACUGCAACGCUGGAGUGCGGCAGAGGGGGAUGGAAUUCCGCGUGUAGCAGUGAAAUGCGUAGAUAUGCGGAGGAACACCGAUGGCGAAGGCAAUCCCCUGGGCCUGCACUGACGCUCAUGCACGAAAGCGUGGGGAGCAAACAGGAUUAGAUACCCCAGUAGUCCCUGUCUCUUAUAA